AGAGUUUGAUCCUGGCUCAGAUUGAACGCUGGCGGCAGGCCUAACACAUGCAAGUCGAGCGGUAGAGAGAAGCUUGCUUCUCUUGAGAGCGGCGGACGGGUGAGUAAUGCCUAGGAAUCUGCCUGGUAGUGGGGGAUAACGUUCGGAAACGGACGCUAAUACCGCAUACGUCCUACGGGAGAAAGCAGGGGACCUUCGGGCCUUGCGCUAUCAGAUGAGCCUAGGUCGGAUUAGCUAGUUGGUGAGGUAAUGGCUCACCAAGGCGACGAUCCGUAACUGGUCUGAGAGGAUGAUCAGUCACACUGGAACUGAGACACGGUCCAGACUCCUACGGGAGGCAGCAGUGGGGAAUAUUGGACAAUGGGCGAAAGCCUGAUCCAGCCAUGCCGCGUGUGUGAAGAAGGUCUUCGGAUUGUAAAGCACUUUAAGUUGGGAGGAAGGGCAGUUACCUAAUACGUGAUUGUUUUGACGUUACCGACAGAAUAAGCACCGGCUAACUCUGUGCCAGCAGCCGCGGUAAUACAGAGGGUGCAAGCGUUAAUCGGAAUUACUGGGCGUAAAGCGCGCGUAGGUGGUUAGUUAAGUUGGAUGUGAAAUCCCCGGGCUCAACCUGGGAACUGCAUUCAAAACUGACUGACUAGAGUAUGGUAGAGGGUGGUGGAAUUUCCUGUGUAGCGGUGAAAUGCGUAGAUAUAGGAAGGAACACCAGUGGCGAAGGCGACCACCUGGACUGAUACUGACACUGAGGUGCGAAAGCAUGGGGAGCAAACAGGAUUAGAUACCCUGGUAGUCCACGCCGUAAACGAUGUCAACUAGCCGUUGGGAGCCUUGAGCUCUUAGUGGCGCAGCUAACGCAUUAAGUUGACCGCCUGGGGAGUACGGCCGCAAGGUUAAAACUCAAAUGAAUUGACGGGGGCCCGCACAAGCGGUGGAGCAUGUGGUUUAAUUCGAAGCAACGCGAAGAACCUUACCAGGCCUUGACAUCCAAUGAACUUUCUAGAGAUAGAUUGGUGCCUUCGGGAACAUUGAGACAGGUGCUGCAUGGCUGUCGUCAGCUCGUGUCGUGAGAUGUUGGGUUAAGUCCCGUAACGAGCGCAACCCUUGUCCUUAGUUACCAGCACGUUAUGGUGGGCACUCUAAGGAGACUGCCGGUGACAAACCGGAGGAAGGUGGGGAUGACGUCAAGUCAUCAUGGCCCUUACGGCCUGGGCUACACACGUGCUACAAUGGUCGGUACAGAGGGUUGCCAAGCCGCGAGGUGGAGCUAAUCCCACAAAACCGAUCGUAGUCCGGAUCGCAGUCUGCAACUCGACUGCGUGAAGUCGGAAUCGCUAGUAAUCGCGAAUCAGAAUGUCGCGGUGAAUACGUUCCCGGGCCUUGUACACACCGCCCGUCACACCAUGGGAGUGGGUUGCACCAGAAGUAGCUAGUCUAACCUUCGGGGGGACGGUUACCACGGUGUGAUUCAUGACUGGGGUGAAGUCGUAACAAGGUAGCCGUAGGGGAACCUGCGGCUGGAUCACCUCCUU
rnacentral:rRNA from 1 species